rnacentral:rRNA from 1 species
CUACGGGUCGCUGCAGUGGGGAAUAUUGGACAAUGGGGGAAACCCUGAUCCAGCAAUGCCGCGUGUGUGAAGAAGGCCUGCGGGUUGUAAAGCACUUUCGGUUGGGAGGACUGCUUCUAGCACUAAUAUUGUUGGAAGUUGACGUUACCUUCAGAAGAAGCACCGGCUAACUCCGUGCCAGCAGCCGCGGUAAUACGGAGGGUGCAAGCGUCUAUCGGAAUUACUGGGCGUAAAGCGCGCGUAGGCGGCUAGAUCAGUCGGGUGUGAAAGCCCCGGGCUUAACCUGGGAACUGCAUCCGAUACUGUCUAGCUUGAGUACAGGAGAGGAGAGUGGAAUUCCACAUGUAGCGGUGAAAUGCGUAGAUAUGUGGAGGAACACCAAUGGCGAAGGCAGCUCUCUGGCCUGAUACUGACGCUGAGGUGCGAAAGCGUGGGGAGCAAACAGGAUUAGAUACCCUCGUAGUC